AGAUUGUCCGUCAAAAUAUGCUUGCGCGAGAUUUAAAAUCUCGUUUUUAACAAAUGACCUUGCGGCAUUCAACAUGGCCUCUGACAAACUGACAAACUUAAUUUGUUUUCCCAGAACAUUUCACGAGAUCUAGGUCUAGCAUUUUGAGAAAAUACAGUCGCAAAAGUGGCCCAUCCAAACUUACUGACAGUACGUCAGUGGCCAUGUUGGUUGUUAGAUGCCGCAAGGUUUAAAACUGCUCAUGCUGUCACAUCUUGUCAACAAUUUUUUCAUAGUUGCUUCAUAAGUUCCUGCACAUUCUGCAUAGGCACGACCUCCAUAUUUCUAGUAGCUAUAUGCCGCCGUUAAGAUUGAGUGCAAACUUUGUAUAAAAAGGAAACACAAAAACAGCGCCACCAUACCAUGGCUUUGACCACUAUAUGCCCGUUUGGUCCAACGUCUCACGCACGCCCCUUGUUAAACAAAAACAAAUUCAUCGAACAUAAGUUUAUAUGAACUUUUUUAUUAUUUGUCGAAUACAUGUUUAAAGUUCAUUUGGACCACGCUGUCCAUAAUUUAUCUAAGCUAUUUGACCAUACCAGGUUUAUACAGGCUGUUCCUUUAUGAUAUAUCAAUUGUUGAGUGCAGUUUUAUGUGAAUGUCUCAACCGUUGACAUAAAUGGUGGUAAAGUUUUCAGGACAAAAUCUUUUUUGUAUAUCCCUAACUGGGUGUAAUAAUGGCACAUAUCCAAAAAUAUCCAUUUUUAGUGAAUUAAGAACAACCAAUACCAUCACAUAUCUUACUUCAGUUCCGAUAGAGAGAGUUAGUGCCACUAUUGAAUUUUCCGCGUUUGUUAACGAUCUUAAACGAAUUAAAUGAUUGAACUGCU